CACUGUGAACUACGCGUUUGAAUCCACGUAGGCAGAGUUCAUUGGCUCUGGACUACAUUCGUCACAUCAUCUGAUCUUAUGUUGUGGUGCAUCUGCACAAUGCAGCUCAAGCACUGAAGAUUUGAGUGGGGAGGAGAGAGUAGACGAUUGGGACAUACUCACAUCAAUGAGGAAGAACUACAAGUCAUGGAUUUGAAGACACUGGAGGCGACAGAGUGGAAUUUGAGAAGGACUUUCUGGGCAGAGGUGCCAGAGCAGAGGAAUGAAGAUGAAGGCUGGGAGGAGCAAGCUGCCCAGAGAACAUGAGACAGGCAGGAGCUGAGCUGGUGAGAUGGCCAGGCUGAUGUGAAAGCAGGAUGCUUCAACUUUCUAGAUGACUGAAGAUUUUCAACCAUGCUCAUUGCUUCGACCUCAUACAACUU
rnacentral:lncRNA from 1 species